CGCGUGGGAAUCUGCCCUUUGCUUCGGAAUAACAGUUAGAAAUGACUGCUAAUACCGGAUGAUGUCUUCGGACCAAAGAUUUAUCGGCAAAGGAUGAGCCCGCGUAGGAUUAGGUAGUUGGUGGGGUAAAGGCCUACCAAGCCGACGAUCUGUAGCUGGUCUGAGAGGACGACCAGCCACACUGGGACUGAGACACGGCCCAGACUCCUACGGGAGGCAGCAGUGGGGAAUUUUGGACAAUGGGGGCAACCCUGAUCCAGCCAUGCCGCGUGCGGGAAGAAGGCCUUCGGGUUGUAAACCGCUUUUGUCAGGGAAGAAAAGACUCCUACUAAUACUGGGGGUUCAUGACGGUACCUGAAGAAUAAGCACCGGCUAACUACGUG
rnacentral:rRNA from 1 species